rnacentral:lncRNA from 1 species
CCCGGGAGGCAGAGGUUGCAGUGAGCCAAGAUUGCAUCAUUGCACUCCAGCCUGGGCAACAAGAGCGAAACUCCAUCUCAAAAAAAAAAAAAAAAAAAAAAAGAUUCUGAAUCCUAAAUAACAGAUGCCAUAUACUAAGUAUAAAUAGGAAUAAACUUGUAUAAUGCUCAAAAAAAUUAUUUGCUGAAAGAAUCUUAUUUCUCAACCUUAUUUGAAAUAGUAAUUCAAUGCAGCCUCUACUUAAAAUUUGCAGAGAAGGGAACUUGAUUUUUGAGGGCAAACUAGGCCUAACUCAAAAUGAAUGCUCUACUUUGAAAGAUUCCAGAAAAAAUCAAUUGUGUCUUCCUAUUAAAAUUAAUUUGCAGUGUGAGAUAACUUACAGCAUUUAAUUUUGCUUAACCCACAUUUUUUGUUGUUGGAAGUUUUCAAAAUAGAAGAGGCCUUGCCUUUUAAGAUGGCAUAGUGGGUGGGGCCAUGAGCUAGUGUGAAUGAGAAACAGUCUGGAUGGAGCAUAGAUUGCUUUUCCAAAGGCAAUUCAGGGUAUGGCUCCCAUCUGGUGCAGGCAUUCUACCAGGAAGCAUUCCAAGUCCCUUUGCUUGUAGCUUCUACUGGGUUUCUCACAAAUGCAAGAAAACACUUUUGAGCCACUAGGAGCUAGAUUACACUAAUGUCUGUUGUGAAAGUAAAUUUUAACAGCAGCUGUUACGGUGAUUAUGAUAAGACUAAACUAAUAAUAGAGUAUAUGCUAACAGAUCAGUUUACAAAAAGACAGCCAAGACUGUUGGGCAAGAGGCUGGGAGAGGGCAUAAAAGGUGAAAGCUUUGUGUACACGGUGAAAAGUCACCAGGAAAUGAGACAGGGUCGAUAAUAGAAUGACCGUAAGCUUGGCUUUCCACCUAAAGGGGUUCCAAACUGACAGCUCUAGCCUGUAGUCAGAAUUAACAGACAUUUUUAAAGGAGGCAUCCAACUUGGAAACUAUGCCAGCCUCUCAAGGCUUCCCACAUCUGCCUAGAAGUAAGCUGUGGGGGAGGGGGUGGCUCACAAAGUGAAGCUAAGCUUCCUCCCUUCUCUCUCAUCCAACGGGGCUGACUCAGCAGCAUUAAACAAAAAGCUAGGAAGGGAUUUGUAUGGGUGUGUACCAGGUGUGAGCAGAUGAAGCCUAAGAAUCAGUGUGUGUGAUUACUCAAUGUUUUUAAAGAACAGAAUCUCUGCCUGUUUGAAGAUAGUGAGUUAUCUCAAAUGAUUGCUCAGUUACAGGUUGAACUCCUUGUUCCACUCUUUCCUGACUUCUUAAUACUGCACUUGACCAGUCAACAAACAACAAACAAACACCAGAAUCUCGGUUCCGUUGUUUGUCCUGAAUCUACUUUCCUGUGGGUUCUUAUUUCUUACUUAUUAUACAGAAUAUUUUGGCAUUGCAAAAAUGGGGCCCUCAGCCCAGCACAGUUGCUCUCACCUGUAAUCCUAGCACUUUGGGAGGCCAAGGAGGGAGGAUCAGGAGUUCAAGGUUGCACUGAGCUAUGGUGAUACCACUGGACUCCAGCCUGUGUGACACAGUGAGAUCCUAUCUCUAAAAGAAAAAUGGGGUCCUUCUUAUAUAAAAAUACUGCUUACUUUUAAAAAUUGACGCCCUCAUCAAAAUGUGUUAAAAUGUGUCCUGGUUGUCUCCCAUCUAUUCCUUUUGCUUUUUCCUCAACCCCAGUGGCUUUAGCUCUUCCACCUUUAGACUCCAAGUUCAUUGUACCUUUCUUUGUCAAAUCAAAAAGAAAUCAGAGAUCACUGUCUGCACUUUAAACAAAAUCCACUUAUAUAAAUAUAAUAACUCACCCAGGCAUCUGCAAUUUAAAGACUCUUCUUGCAGAAUGAGUAGUUCUAUUUCCUAUUAAAUAAAUGUUUCUGCUGCAGCAGCCAGAUAGGAAAGUGAUGAGGAUGGGGGAUAGCUGUGGAAGGAAAGCAAGAGACUUUCUUACUAUAAAUCGUAAAUGUUAAAGACUGGCCCCAAAGCUAAGCCAACCAACCACCAAUUCAUCCAUUCAGCGAACAUUUGCCAUACAUUAACCAAGAGGUAGGGCAUUCACUAUCAUUUACAUGAUUUCAUGUACUUCUCACAAGAAUCUAAUGGAAUAGCUACUAUUAUUAUCCCCAUUUUACAGAAAAGGAAAUUAAGGCACAGAGAGUUAAAUUAAAACAGACAACUACUAAGUGGUGGAACAGGGACAUGCAAGAAGUCAGACCCUGUUACCAGAAAAAGGGUCCCAAUCGAGACUCCAAGAGAGGGUUCUUGGAUCUCACUCAAGAAAGAAUUCUGGGUAAGUCCAUAGAGUCUAGUGAAAGCAAGUUUGUUUUGUUUUUCUUUGAGACAGGGUCUUAUUGUCACCCAGGCUGGAGUGCAGUGGCACGAUCUCGGCUCACUGCAACGUCUGCUAAUCUCUGCCUCCCAGAUAGCUGAGACUCUAGGUGUGUGCCACCAGCCCAGCUAAUUUUCGUAUUCUUUGUAGAGACAGGGUUUUGCCAUGUUGCCCAGGCUGGUCUUGAAUCCCUGAGCUCAAGCUAUCCACUCUCCUCAGCCUCCCAAAAUGCUAGGAUUACAGGCUGAGCCACCAUGCCUGGCCUUGAAAACAAGUUUAUUAGAGAAGUAAAGAAACAAAAUAAUGGCUACUCCGUAGACAGAGUAGCACCGAGG